rnacentral:rRNA from 1 species
GAAACCAACUGGGAUUGCCUCAGUAACGGCGAGUGAAGCGGCAGAAGCUCAAAUUUGAAAUCUGGCCCUCUGGGGGUCCGAGUUGUAAUUUGCAGAGGACACUUCGGGUGCGGCUGCGGCCUAAGUCCCCUGGAACGGGGCGUCAGAGAGGGUGAGAAUCCCGUCUUGGGCCGUGGGCUUGCCCCGUGUGAAGUUCCUUCGACGAGUCGAGUUGUUUGGGAAUGCAGCUCUAAGUGGGUGGUAAAUUUCAUCUAAGGCUAAAUACUGGCGGGAGACCGAUAGCGCACAAGUAGAGUGAUCGAAAGGUUAAAAGCACCUUGAAAAGGGAGUUAAACAGCACGUGAAAUUGUUGAAAGGGAAGCGCUGGCAGCCAGACACGGACCUGGGGGCUCAGCGGGCAUGCGUGCCCGUGCACUCCCCUGCGGUCCGGGCCAGCAUCGGUUUCGGCGGCCGGUCAAAGGCCCCGGGAAGGUAUCGUCCUCCGGGACGACUUACAGCCCGGGGCGCAAUGCGGCCAGCCGGGACCGAGGAACGCGCUCCGGCACGGAUGCUGGCGUAAUGGCUGUCAGCGGCCCGUCUUGAAACACGGACCAAGGAGUCUAACAACCACGCGAGUGUGCGGGUGUCAAACCCGUGCGCGCAGUGAAAGCGAACGGAGGUGGGAGCCCGCGAGGGUGCACCAUCGACCGAUCCUGAAGUCUUCGGAUGGAUUUGAGUAGGAGCGUGGCUGUUGGGACCCGAAAGAUGGUGAACUAUGCCUGAAUAGGGUGAAGCCAGAGGAAACUCUGGUGGAGGCUCGCAGCGGUUCUGACGUGCAAAUCGAUCGUCAAAUUUGGGUAUAGGGGCGAAAGACUAAUCGAACCAUCUGGUAGCUGGUUCCUGCCGAAGUUUCCCUCAGGAUAGCAGUAACGUCUUCAGUUUUAUGAGGUAAAGCGAAUGAUUA